rnacentral:snoRNA from 1 species
ACUGCCCCUAGAGGCUUUGCAGGAGUGACUUCUGUGUCACCUGUGCAUCAGGAGAUGGCACAGAGGAGAGAGGCUUUGUCUAAGCUCAGUGUUCUGACCUGUGAACGACUGAAUGAUUAGUCACCCAAUACU